GCUGUAAAUUUAAUAUAUAUAUAUAUAUAUUAAUUUAUAUUGAUAUGAUAUUGUAUGUUCGAUUGUAAUUGUAAGAUACUAUGAUACAUUGUACAUGCAGCUUGUUUUAUUGUGCAUUGAUAGUUUUAUUAGAAAAAAAAGCGUUUUACGCAUUUGAAAUUAUAGUAACGCUAAUAGAACCGCGCUUGAGAUGCACGAACGAAAUGGGCGGGAAAAGAGCGCGGCAGUCACGUGCGAGGAAAGGCGGCAGGAUUGAACUCGUUUUCGAGCUCGUCAGAGAAGAAUCGGUUAUAAAUACAGCGGAGGAGUCGAUGUUCGUGUCUUCUCUUGAUUCAGUGGUGCUGUUACUAGUCCACGCUAAAUCUCUGAAUGAGUGCUUCACUCGCUGGCACGCGUUCUGAAAUAAAAGAGAUCGAUAGGGGAUCUGUGCA
ensembl:lncRNA